AUAUUAGCUGACAGGGGAUACACAUGAACACAAAGGUAGUUUUCUCAGAGCGAGGCUACACCAUUGCACCAUGGUGUGCUGACCCCUGUAAUUUCUACAAAUGUGGGCAACUCUGCUGUGUAAUUUGUGGUAGUGGGGGACUGUGUUCCUGUUCUUCCCUG